ACUAAGCCAACGGUAAGGAAUCACCCUGAAUCUGAGCAGGAAUUAAUAAAGGGCAUCAUGUAUGUAUACAACUUGAAGGCACCCUUAGAUGCCGUGGAAGUCCCCCUUUUGCUAGCGUAACAAUCUACGUUGACGAUGUUGAAACCUCGCAUAAACUUGUAAGGGCUGGAUGAACCAGAAAAGCUUAUGGAUCGCGUGUCAAAUAAGAUUCAAGUAGAUAGAAGUUACGUGGAAAGUCAGGCGGGAUGGGUGGAAAGUCCAUGCGGAUUUAAUACGGAAACUCCGUACGCUGCGCAUUGUGGAAGUGCUGUGUGCUUUCUCACUUCUUAUACUCGGAUUCUUCUUUUACGCGAUCUGAACCGUAGGAGCUCGCUGCUGAAGCUUGUACAUCCAUCCAUCCAUCCAUCCAUCCAUCCACGAUCUGCCCAUCAAAAAUCCAUGGAACCAUGGAAUAAGCCGUGAUUAACCAUUUCCAAGCCUGGGAAUAAAUCCAUGUGUGCUUACUUGGACAAAUAUAUGAUUUAAGGAGUCUUGGUUCUUUAUCCAGUGGACAAUGAGGGCCUAAUUCAUGUGCGGAUUAUCCCUGCGCUAACCAAUGACCUUAGCAAUCUGCCCAGGAUUAACAGGGAUUAGACUGGAUCAGCACGUCCCUAAGGAAACUUUUUUCAUUGGUGCGCGCGUCCCAGGGUGAAAUUACGAGCAGUGGAUCCUAGAACUGUUUAUGAACUUGGUCAAAGUUUCGAAUCUCUGUUAAGCGUAUAUACCAGCCGAACUCCUGUGUGGGCUUAUCAAGGUCCAUAGCCUUCACGCCGGGCACACUCAGUAGGUUCGGUAAAUCCUUAACGCUGUUGUUUAUUGUCUGGAGGUAACUCUGGCCCCUUUGGUAGGUUGCAUUUUACUUCGUCUUACGAUUUGCCCCUUUUUGGCCAUCGCGUAAGCAUCUUAGCUACCUACAGGUCUUCGCCAGACCACCCUGCUUCCAUCAGCCGUAAAGCCUCAUCCAGGCUUAAUACAUCACGUAAGUUCGGUUUGGUUGCUUGGGUUGCUUUCCCAGGAGCCUUGUUGGUAGGUUAGGUAGGCUAGGUCAGAGGGUUGCAAAAACGGUCUAAUCCCCCAAUCCCGGGGGGUGGUAGUGGUCAGCCAUCCCCCCAUCCUGGCUGGGGUGGCCGACUCCCAUCUCCCAUCUUAGGGGCCCGGUGCUAAUCCCAUCCCUUGAGACAGGUUUCCCAUCCUGCCAGCCUGGGUCCCAUCCCCAAUCCUAUGGCCAGGGUUUCCAAUCCCAUCCUGCAGCUGUGUUCCCCCAAUCCUCAUCCUGCCAGCCAGGGUCCCUUCCCAAUCCCUUCGACCAGGGCCAUCCCCAUCCUGCAGCUGUGUUCAGAUCCGAAAGCUGUCAGCCAGGGUCCCAUCCCC
rnacentral:lncRNA from 1 species